GCCCUAGUAACGGCGAGUGAAGCGGCAACAGCUCAAAUUUGAAAUCUGGCCUUCUGGUCCGAAUUGUAAUUUGUAGAGGAUGCUUUUGGUGCGGUGCCUUCCGAGUUCCCUGGAACGGGACGCCUUAGAGGGUGAGAGCCCCGUACGGUUGGACGCCUAGCCUCUGUAAAGCUCCUUCGACGAGUCGAGUAGUUUGGGAAUGCUGCUCUAAAUGGGAGGUAAAUUUCUUCUAAAGCUAAAUACCGGCCAGAGACCGAUAGCGCACAAGUAGAGUGAUCGAAAGAUGAAAAGCACUUUGAAAAGAGGGUUAAAUAGUACGUGAAAUUGUUGAAAGGGAAGCGCUUAUGACCAGACCUUUGCUCGGCGGAUCAUCCGGUGUUCUCACCGGUGCACUUCGUCGGGUCGAGGCCAGCGUCGAUUUCCGGUGGGGGAUAAAGGCUUCGGGAAUGUGACUCCUCCGGGAGUGUUAUAGCCCGUUGCGUAAUACCCCUCCGGGGAUCGAGGUUCGCGCUCUGCAAGGACGCUGGCGUAAUGGUCAUCAGUGACCCGUCUUGAAACACGGACCAAGGAGUCGAACAUUUGUGCGAGUGUUUGGGUGUCAAACCCUCACGCGUAAUGAAAGUGAACGGAGGUGAGAGCCCUCGGGCGCAUCAUCGACCGAUCCUGAUGUCUUCGGAUGGAUUUGAGUAAGAGCAUAACUGUUCGGACCCGAAAGAUGGUGAACUAUGCGUGGAUAGGGUGAAGCCAGAGGAAACUCUGGUGGAGGCUCGCAGCGGUUCUGACGUGCAAAUCGAUCGUCAAAUCUGCGCAUGGGGGC
rnacentral:rRNA from 1 species